AACAUUUGGGGUGCUAGUUUCUUUUUUAGUGUUUUUGUUUUUUUCGGAUAUAUACCCAGGAGUGGAAUUGCUGGAUCAUAUAGUAGUUCCAUUUUUAGUUUUCCAAUGUUCAUUAUUUACAAUCGUCAAGGUAUGGAAACAACAUAAGUGCCCAUCAACAGGUAAAAUGGAUAGAGUGAGUUCCCUGGUGGCCUAGUGGUUAGGAUUCCAAGCUUUCACUGCCAUGACCUGGGUUCAGUCUCUGGUCAGGGAACUGAGAUCCCCCAAGCUGUGCGGUGUGGCAAAAAAAACCUCAUGGGCCUAGUUGCUCCGCGGCAUGUGGGAUUCUCCCAGACCAGGGCUCGAACCCGUGUUCCCUGCAUUAACAGGCAGAUUCUCAACCACUGCGCCACCAGGGAAGCCUGAAGUCCUGACUCUUAAUACCUCAUAAUAUUACCCUAUUUAGAAAUAGGGUUGUUGUGGUUGUAGUUAGUGAAGAGGAGACCACAGGGUGAGCCCUAAUCCAAUAUCGUGUCCUUAUAAAAAGGGGAAAUUUGGACAUAGUCUUGCACCCAGGGAAAACACCAUAUGAAGAUGAAGGCAGAGAUCAGGGCGUUGCUUUUAUAAGCCAAGGGAUACCAAAGGUUGCCUGCAAAGCACCAGACGCUAAAUGAGGGGCAUGGAACAGAUUCUCUCACAGCCCUCAGAGGGAACCAACCCUGCCAACACUACAAUGUUGGACUUCUGGCCUCCCCAACUGUGAGGCAAAUACAUUUCUGUCUUGUAAGCCACUCAGUUUGUGGUACUUUGUUAUGGCAGCCCUAGCAAACUAAUACAAUGGCCGUUUAGAUGGAAGGAAUUAAAAAGAUUUAUAACUUGGAGUGAAAGUAUGUGCAAAGAAACUUCAUGACACAAGAUGAAAAUGUAAUGUUGAAGAAAACCAGGAACCUAUGUAGACUUAAUCUAGGACUAUUUUUGAAUUGGAGCAAAGAUCUCAAAAUUUAGACCUUGAAAUGUCAAGGGUCUGUUAUACUCUUUCUGAAGCCAAAGUGUUCAGACCUCUCUAGCAGGCUUUGUUAGUUUUGAUUGAGUGUACCAUCUUUUAAACUUUACCUUGGUUUGAAGAAACUCAUUUCCCUGAAGGAAAGAAAACCCUGUCAGGUUUCCAUGGGGGAGAGAUUUUCACUAAGCCUAUUAUCAUGUGCCAUGUGGUCUCUUCCUAAUAUAACACAGCAGUCAGGUUCAAAUAAUGAAAAUAAAUACAUACAUCUUACACAAAUUGUAUGUAAUUUGUGCUCAUCCAAGAGCACAAAUCACUUAAAAAAUUGCUUAUUGAAUUCAUCUGUAUAGAGAUUUUUUUUUAAAGCCCUAAAACUUUCCCCCCCCCAAAUUCUUAACUCUAGUGUACCAUUCAGUUUUUUUUUCCCUUUAAAGUUAGGUAUUAGAGAACUCAGAAGUGGCUUUUUAAUCUUAAUGAUUAGGGACCAGUUUAAUUAAAAGAAAUUGUAAAUGUUGCUUACUGGUUUUCAGCUUUUACAAUCAACCAGUAGAUUAAACAGAAGACAAGAAUGUGAAGGAAAUCAACUUUGAUAAUGUAAAAGUGAAGGUAUGUAGACAGAAGUGAGGUAGAAAUGGGGAGGAGGGAAGAGGGCAUGCUCAUGGCAGGAAACCUGGAUGCUGCACGACACUGUUGGGUGAAUGUGAUUUUAAGUAAGUUGUAAAGGUAAUAGCUAUAUUUUUUCUUUCUUUUUUUAAAUUGAAGUAUCAUUGAUUUACAAUGUUGUGUUAGUUUCUGGUGUACAGCAACGUGAUUCAGUCAAAGUGAUUGCAUUUCUGGUGUACAAAGUGAUUUCAUUCUUCUGUCAAAAACUGGAAGGAGUAAGGGAGUAAGGUGCGGGGAGUGGUAUAAAUUAAAUCCUCAUUUUUAGGCUGGGGAGUCAAUAGACGAGGGCCAACGAAAUAGCAGUGUAGGUGUGUGUUAUGAAGGUAAUCACCAGAAUUAAAGACCAGUUAUUUAAAAGUGAUAAUCCCUCACAUGAGCAGAAGUAAAGUGGAAGCAAAGGUUUUUUGUUUUCUGUUGUGUUGUGUGCAUGGUUUCUUCGGUAAAAAGAAAUGAGAAAAAAUAGUUGUACUGAUCAACAUUUGCUCAAAGAAGCAGCACGAGAAUCGGAUAACCUAGUGAAUGCUAGUUAUUUGUGAGAUGUUAGGCAAGAAGUAAAAUCCUUCCGUGACAAGGAAAUAAUGUGAGAAUGCUUACGUGUAAUGGCAGAUAUUUCAUUGUCUUAAAAAAAACACCAUGUGUAUAUAAAAAUGUAGGCAUUUAAUAGUUUCCUACAUGCGGGCCCAGUUUAUUUUUAAUUUUAAUGUUAGACAAAUUACAUUCAGAUAUAGCCAGAAAAAUGAGAAUUCUUAGUUGAAAGUGGCUCUUUUUCUAACCUGCUUUCUAUACUCUUUUGAAACUUGUAAAUGUUGUUUAAGGUAAGGUGAGAUACCACAAAAAUAGGGUUAUGUGUAAGUUAUAGUGGGAUCUUUGCUUGAUUGUCUUAAUAAUGCCGAAUCGGAAGAGGGAUCUUACUGCACCUAAUUUUCAUAAAGCGAGGUUAGUUCAUAGGAAACAUGCUUAUAUUUUUUUCAGGAUCUGUUUUCUCACUGCAAUCUAACUGUAUUGUAGUGGAAAUUAAUUGUUCAGUAUCAGAAGUUAUAUACGUCAGAAGUGUAGCAAAAUAUAAAAUCUUUUUUAGGAUUUCUUCUAAACAAUUUAAACUAAGCCUUAAGGAAUUACAAUUGCUAGAUUUUAUCUAUCACUUUUUAAAUUUGUAGAAGACAGUAAUAAAGACCAACCUAAUAGUGUUUCCUUAAUUAUUGACUACUUAAAUUUUUAUUUUAGCAUAAGUUGUUAUUUGAGCUACAUUACAUAUACUUAGCUAUAUUAUACCUAGAUACAUAACAUUGGAAAUAUCUGUAAUUAAAUUUCAUUCUCUUACUUAGCUAGGCAUUUAAAGUAACUUACAAUAAUUUAAAUAUAUAACAUUGAAAAGAAAUGUUAAAAGCAGCUGUUGGGAAUAGUGUCAAUGUGUGUUUUAAUCCUUUAAGGGAGGUACCAGGUACAACUUAAUACAUAUCUUCUUAGACUCUGACUUGUUAAGCUUAGUUCUUAUGUGUUGCCUUGAAAUUUACAGAAAUAUUUGAAUUAAUCAUUUUAAGCUAUAAUUGUAUGAGAUGUCCUUGUUGCCUGUACUCCCCUUCCCUCUUAUAUGUAAUUUUUAAUAGAUUAAUUAAUAAACUUUUAUGUUUAGAGUAGUUUUAGGUUCACAGCGGAAAACACAGAGAGGUCCCACAUACCCCCUCUUGCCUCCACCACCAGACAUCCACCACCGGAGUUGUACAUUUGUUACAUACCCGGAUGAACCUACAUAAAUACAUCAUUAUCGUCCAGGGUCCAUGCUUUACAUUGGAGUUCCUUCGGGGUGUUGUACAUUCUUUGGGUUUGGACAAAUAUAUAAUGACAUGUAUCCCUCAUGAUAGUCUUGUACAGAGUAGUUUCACUGCCCUGAAAAUCCUCUGUGUUCCACCCGUUCAUCCCCUCCUCCUCACAACCCCUGAUCUUUUUACUGUCUUAAUAGUUUUGCUUUUUCCGGAAUGUCAUACAAUUGGAAUCAUGUAUGUAGUCUUUUCAGAUUGGCUUCCUUCACUUAGUAAUUUGCAUUUAAAUUCCUCCAUGUCUUUUCAUGGAUUGAUAGCUCAUUUCUUUUUAGUGCUGAAUGAUAUUCUGUUGCCUAGAUGUCCCACAGUGUAUUUAUCCAGUCACCUACUGAAGGGCAUCUUGGUUGCUUCCAAGUUUUGGCAGUGACGAAUAAAAUUGCUGUAACCAUCCACGUGCCUGUUUUUGUGUGAACAUACGUUUUCAAUGCCUGUAGGUAAAUACCAAGGUGUGUGAUUGCAGGAUCAUAUGGUAAAAGUAUGUUCAGUUUUGUAAGAAACUGCCAAGCUUUUCCAAAGUGGCUGUACCAUUUUGUAUCCUCACCAGCAAUGAAUAAGGGUCCUGUUUUUCCACGUCUUGCCAGCAUUUGGUGGUGGUGGAAUUUAUUUUUAAAGCUUUUAUUUGUGGUUUCUGCUAUAUGUUUUUGUAGGGGUUCAAAGCAAAAAAAUUAUUUAAGUGAUCAAAGGAGAGGUAGAAAAUCUUACAUUUCUUGAUGAUAAAAUAGAAAUGGAGCUAGGGGCUGCAUCCUGAGAAGCUGGCAACUAGAACAUUUCAUUCUGAAUAAGACUUGGGCUUUCCUUUAAAAUGUGUCCUAAAAGUUUUUGAAUUUCCUGACUCAUUGGAAGGUAUUUUCAAUAUAUUCAAAUUUCUAUGAGGCAAAGCAUAGGAAUCCUCUUCCCCAAAUACAUAUUUUUUGUUAGAGAGAAAUAAGAAAUGCUUGUUAAUAUGUGAGUUGGGAAGCACAACUGAAUUUACUAGGGCUUUGUCCUUUCCAAUUGUUUUAAAUAUUUUUGCCAUUUAUCAAGAUAAAGUGGAAUAAGUGAUAUCUUAAAGUUCCUACUGGAUUGCCAUUUUCACUGCUGGAUUCCAGGCUUAUUGUUUACUGUUUUUGUACUAGUACCUGUAGUUAAAGCAUAGGUUAUAAAUUUAAAAAAUGAUUUACAAAUAAAUAAAAUUCUCCAAUCAUCCCUUCCUCUCUGAAUAAUAAUUUUUCUGUGCAUAUGUAUAUUAAGGUCGUGCCUGGUCCAUGUGUGAGCAUUUGUGGAAGCUAACACCAGGUCCUGGCCAUGGUUGGGGCAGACCUGUGUUAUCUCAUCUGUGAUCUAUACAAGCCAAUUGAAGUGGGUGUUUAUGUCCAAGAGCACAUAAUUACUGAGGCUAGGAUGUGAGUCCACUCUGGAGACUGCACCUCUCUCACUGUCUCUGCCCUGAACUUUAUAACCCGCCCAGAAACUGCACACAGAGGGGCUUCGCAGGAGGAGAGGACCCGGGUCAUGGAUGCUGUUUGCUGAUUGGCUAAACCUACACUGAAUUUUCAAACACUGGAAAGCUGGUUUCAGUUUUGGUUUAUGUAGUCUCGGUGUUAAAUUUGCACACCAACUUUGGAGCAUGAUUUGGAGCAAUAUCAUAUCUCUGACCCCGUGCUCUAUCGCUUGUGUCCGCGACGGGAAAAUCAUCCUGAAUUUUUGACCGGUUUUGACAAUUUGUUCUCCUGCUCAGACCGUCUUAAAAGUAUUCGGGGCAUCCCUGGCGGUCCAGUGGUUAAGGCUCCGCGCUUCCACUGCAGGGGGCGCCGGUUAGAUCCCUUGUCGGGGAACUAAGAUCCCUCAUGGCGCGCGGGGAGGCCAAAGAAAAGGAGAGAAGGAAGUCCUCUCACUGAAAGAUAGUUGACUAACGUUUAAAAUACUUUAUUUGAGCCUAUUAUCCAUUUAUAUUCAAAUGCAAAUACAGCUUUUUCGUUGUUUUUUAUUUUUCCGCUUGAUUAUAAUAAGCAUUUUAAUGAAAUGGAUUAGGCUAAACAGGUGUUUAAACGCCUACUACGCGCUGACGCCCAACCAGCCUGAGUCUAGGAAGAGUGAAGUGCCGUGCUCCCAUUUUUGCUUUAAAUUACAAUCUAGGGGAGGUUUUCCCUCAAUCUUUAUGCAACAUAAAGGAACCCUUUUUCAUGUAACUGCCUGCUUCGACAUUUAUCCCUUUUCAUAAUUUGGAUUUUCAUGCUUUGGGUUUUCUUGAAGGUGUGUUUCUGUCUCUUCAGUUAGAUUUGUCAUCCUGGCACUUGCUGAUCAGAGCCACUGGGUGGCAGCAAAAGAACAUAGAAGAGUUCGUUUUGCUUUUGCAUUCGCAAAAAUGAAGAGAAAGCUAUUUGGAUUUCGUGGGUGAUGAGAAAAUAAAGUGAUUAAAACUUGAUAUGUAACUAAAGCAGAGGAAAGACCAUGUGAAGACAAAGUGGCCAUCUGCAACCCAGGAAGUGACCCUCACCUGGAACUGAAUCAGCUGACACCUUAAUCUUGGACUUUGAGCCUCCAGAACUGCGAGAAAACAGGCGAUCCAAAGCCAGGCGUGAAGUUUAGGAAACCAGGACCUCUGCCUUGGCUUCCUCCUUCUGUCACCUCCAGGAGCUUGCUGCAGGCACUAGGAAUAUGACUGAGAAGGCCCUCUGAUUCGGAGCUUAGUGGCACAUGAGAUGACAGAUCUAAAAUGACCGUGCUACCAACACCACAAGGCUUUGGUUUUUUGGCCACAAGGCAAGUGGGAUCUUAGCGCCCGGACCAGGGAUCGAACCUGCACCCCCUUCAUUGGAAGGUGAAGUCUUAACCACUGGACCACCAGGGAAAUCCUCUAGACCAUGUUCUUUGACAUAAUUCUACUGUGGCCUUAGGUGUUAAUUCCAAGCUCGCUUCCUAGUAAUUCACCAGCAUGCUAUUCUCCAGCUCAGGAUCCACUUCCAAGGGAACCCAGCUUGCAACCGUUGGUGCCACAAGUGGUCAAGAAAGCAGAUGCUGGAGUGAGAUUUUAGAGCUGGAUCACUUGCUGCCCAGUUGCCAAUAAAGAGUCCAUCACCAGCAGAAGAAAAUAAGAAAAAGGAGAAGUGAAUCAGAGACUUCAGGAAGACAAUAAUAACAGAAGUGUACAAGAAAGGCAUUGCCCAAAUAUAAAGCCAACUCACCUGAGGUAUGAUUUUGACUAGUUGAUGGGAUGUGAAGAGGAGAAUCCAUUUGAAUAGAUGCCAGAAAUGUUACAUUAUUUUCUGUUUUUCAGUUUUUAACUUUCACUCAUACAAAUCACGAGGACUUAGCUAUGGUUCCAAGCAGAAUAUAAACAUUAUGAGUCUUGAUAAUGUAAACAUUACAGGUAUAGCUGUCACAGGUUGGGGAAUGGAAGAGAAGGAGAAGGAAAUAGCUGUGAAAAGUUGACGGAACAAGAAGUGAGGCUUUAGUAUGCCACUUGAAGUUGCCGAUGUCAAGAGGAAGAACUGAAAAUGGAGGUGUAACUAAAUUGGGAUGAGGAGGGGGAGGGGCAGUAAGGAAGAGGUGGUAGAGGUGACUUAAAUUUUCCUCCAUCGUAGUGGAAGUCAGUAGAUAAUAUCUAAAGAUGGUAAAUCAAGAAAUUGAGCUAUGUAUCUAGUAUAUAGAGAUUGGAAAGAACCACCAGGAGAAAUAAAAAUAGAAAUGAUUAAAAGUGCUUGCUUCU